AACGAGACCUUAACCUGCUAAAUAGCCAGGCUAGCUUUGGCUGGUCGCCGGCUUCUUAGAGGGACUAUCGGCUCAAGCCGAUGGAAGUUUGAGGCAAUAACAGGUUAACCUUUAUCAUAGGCCUGUAAAAGCG
rnacentral:rRNA from 1 species